AAGGUCGGUCGGGCGGUCGCUCCGCGUCGUGUCAUGCGACGCGGGGAGGAAAGUCCGAGCAGGACAGCGGGCCGCCAGGCGCGAACAAACGCGUUUGGAGACCCCAGGGCACGGUGGUGGCUAACGACCACCGGGAGCAAUCCCAGGGAUAGUGCCACAGAAAACACACAGCCGACGGCCCGGCGUCGCUGCACGCAGCGCCGGCGGGAUCGGGCAAUGGUGAAAAGGUGCGGUAAGAGCGCACCGCGGCGGCGGCGACGUCGCCGGCAGGGAAAACCCCACCGCCUGCAAGACCAAGCAGCCGGUAGGCGACGACGGACUCCUCGGGCCUCGCGUCCGAAGGGUCCCGAGCCAUACUCGGCCCGGGUAUGUGCGGCUUGGGCCGCAUGACCGGCGGGUAGGUCGCAUUCCGCACCCUCGCGGCGAGAGAUCGCCGCGGGGCGGAAGAGCCAGUCGGCAACGGCUGGUCCAGAUAAAUGAUCGCCGCCCGCCAUUCGGCGGGGACAGAACUCGGCUUACAGACCGGCCUUGGGA
rnacentral:RNase_P_RNA from 1 species